UUUAGCAUUCUUUGGAGUCAUAGAGCUCAUUAAGCAAGUUUUUUUUUCUCUGCUUGUGAGAAACCAUUUUGGAAGUCACUUAUAGUUGAACAUUCUAUGACUAUUUGUGUGUAAUUCAGUUUCCUUACCUAUAAAACAAUGUUUUGCACUAUACUCCAGCCCAUCAGUGGGCUCUGCCAUGGACAUUCCAGUCAACCCAAGGCACUCUUCACAUUUCCCAGGCAAGGAGGACAAAGGCCACUAUUUUCUCUCCUAGCAGCACAUUGAUGACAAGAGCAGGCUAUUUCAUUGGCUAAGUAACAGCAGUGUGGCCACUCACCACUUCAAGAAAUUUGCCAAUUAAUUCAGAAUUCUGAACAAAAGAACAUCGGUGAUCAAAGUGAGAUACAUCUGCUCCUGGUAGCAUCAAUCUACUUCAGAGAAGAUGAUGGGCAUUGAAGAACCUCCAUAUGGAGUUUGCUUUAAGUGUGGCAAAGCUAGGCACUGGGCAAGAAAUUGUCCUUGCCUCAACUGCUGACAGUAUGCUGCCCAAAUUGGACAAGCAGGACACAAAAGAAAGCCGCCCAAAUUGGACAAGCAGGACACAAAAGAAAGCAACUGCCAAACUUUGCCAAGACAAGGUAGUACAGUCCUUCAAAUUUUUCUGCUUCACAGAAAAGUCUGUCAGAUAUUCUAGGAGGCCUAUAAGACAAAUAUGGAUGCCCCAACAUUGCAGAGGAAUCUUGAGUGACUUUCCAGGCAGCCAGCUGUCUCUGCCAUUUCUAUAGUUUUAGAAGUUGCUUGUUCUGUACUUCCUCUUUACUCAGGUAAUAUUUUAUCCAUUUCAGGUCUCUGAUGGUGUUGAAUAACAGAUAGUUAUAGUUUUAUCAUUUUCUUUGUUACCAACUUCAAAAAAGAAACUCACAAAAGAGAUGUAAAGUUUAUAAAGGUUGAGAGACAUAAAAGCUUAA